UGGGCAUCACACUUAGUUUGCUGAGCUGUGCUGGGUAAGCGUGGCUGUUUCUUUGUUUGUCAGCUUUUAUCAUAGCCAUUAAUGCAAGCUGGUUUGAUUUGUUUAGCCUCCCUUGCUGUGCCUCCAACUCCUGGACCAAUUUGUUCGGUUGUUUGCUGCCGUGAAGCUGCGCUCCAUAGGUGAACUUGUGGAUCUGUUUAUCUGGCCGUGUGGUAAUUUACAGGGACUGAGGCUUCUGUGGUGGCGGUGGUGACCCCUGGUGGCGGUGUCUUUUCUCGUGUGUUUUGUGGAACCCCCCUUUUUUUGUGUGUGUGUGUUCGCCGUGUUUUUGUAGUGUCCAGGGUGAUCCCUUUUCUUCACUGGAUGUUGCCCCUUUCCUCACUACUCUCCCCCCCACUGGUAAGCCUCAGUUUCCUUUGAAAUUUAAACAUUUUAUCAACUUUAUUAAAAAGGCAUUCACUGUUUUAACCAUUCGAUUUCAGGUUAUUGUUAAUUUAAACAACCUAUUAAAGUUUAAUAAAUUUUUUGUAGAAUUGUCUGAA